UUGGGAAUUUUCUUUUUCUCCGGGGGGUUGAGGGUUCCUUCCUCCUCGGAGGGUUCAGAUUGAAGAAUGCAAUCAUCUUUUCGGGCAAUGGUUCGGCCUCUCUCGUUGACCCGAGGGUUCUCUACGAGCUCCCACAAGAUCGUCGCUUCCGUGCGUUUCGAGCGAUUGCCCGUUGUUCUUCCCAGAAUCGAUCCUGUUGUUCAUGCUUUCCAGGAGUUCUCGUAAUCUCUCUUUCUCUCUCUUUGUGAUGAUGGUGAGUAAGCCAUGGAUCAUAGGAAAGAAUGUCAGUGCUUCUCAACUUAGUUUCCAUUUUUUGCGAUCUCGCGAUGUAAGGGACGACGUUACUCUAGUCUGCGAUUCUGGAUCUCUAACCUGUAAAAAUUUUCAACCUUUCUGGGCUGGAUCGCCUUAAAUUUAUGGGAUUGAAAAGCUUUUUAACUUGUGUUCUUGGUCUGGCCGCUGUGUGGCAGAUUCAGGUGGAGACAGCGCCGUAGAUACCCAGAUGAAUUUCUGGACUUAGCCAAGUCUAGGUGAAUAUCACAUCGACUAUGAGCCUGCUCCCCGGAUUACAGAUGCUGAUAAGAUAAAUGAUAAGAAGUCGUUACAGAGAGCUCUCGACCAAAGAUUGUAUCUUCUUGUCUUCGGUAAGGCAUUGGGGGCUCCUAACGACAAACCCGUUUGGCACUUUCCAGAAAAAGUCUACGAGUCCGAGGAUACACUUCGCAAGACUGAGGUCACAUGGCCAUUCACCCUACAGAAAAUAUGCCGGAAUUGCCUGCUUUCAAGCGAUUUUUCUUCAAAUCCUAAGAGAUAGCAGCUAACAAGUUCAGCAUAGGCAAGUGAGAGGAUUUCGUGUGAGUGACAAAGGAUGAGCAUUUGGAGUACUUCCCCGAGCAAGAAGAUUUCUUCAACAAGAUGGUCAUCAGCUAAGGCACAUUGCUAUGACAAUAAUGUGAUUGCAAUUUCUCAUCCUUCUUACAGUUUCAUAGGAUCGGAUUGUUUGGUUCAUUGCUACUACGUUUAGAUUAUAACCUUAGAUGUUUAAUAAAGUUGCAUUCAGAGGCA